rnacentral:rRNA from 1 species
UACAGAGGGGGCAAGCGUUAAUCGGAAUUACUGGGCGUAAAGCGUGCGCAGGCGGUUAUGUAAGACAGAUGUGAAAUCCCCGGGCUCAACCUGGGAACUGCAUUUGUGACUGCAUAGCUAGAGUACGGUAGAGGGGGAUGGAAUUCCGCGUGUAGCAGUGAAAUGCGUAGAUAUGCGGAGGAACACCGAUGGCGAAGGCAAUCCCCUGGACCUGUACUGACGCUCAUGCACGAAAGCGUGGGGAGCAAACAGG